rnacentral:rRNA from 1 species
UGCGGAGGGAUCAUUACACAAAUUAAAAUAUGAAGGCUUCGGCUGGAUUGUUUUUAUCACCCUUGUCUUUUGCGCACUUGUUGUUUCCUGGGCGGGUUCGCCCGCCACCAGGACCACACCAUAAACCUUUUUUAUGCAGUUGCAAUCAGCGUCAGUAUAACAAAUGUAAAUCAUUUACAACUUUCAACAACGGAUCUCUUGGUUCUGGCAUCGAUGAAGAACGCAGCGAAAUGCGAUACGUAGUGUGAAUUGCAGAAUUCAGUGAAUCAUCGAAUCUUUGAACGCACAUUGCGCCCUUUGGUAUUCCAAAGGGCAUGCCUGUUCGAGCGUCAUUUGUACCCUCAAGCUUUGCUUGGUGUUGGGCGUCUUUUGUCUUUGGCCUCGCCCAAAGACUCGCCUUAAAACGAUUGGCAGCCGGCCUACUGGUUUCGCAGCGCAGCACAUUUUUGCGCUUGCAAUCAGCAAAAAGGACGGCAAUCCAUCAAGACUACAUUUUUACGAUCGACCUCGGAUCAGUUCCUGAUACCCGCUGAACUUAAGCAUAU